rnacentral:lncRNA from 1 species
UGCUGAGGCCAUCGGCGUGUGCUACGGCAUGAGCGCCAACAACCUGCCGCCGGCGAGCACGGUGAUCGACAUGUACAAGGCGAACGGCAUCUCGGCGAUGCGUCUGUACGCCCCCGACCAGGGCGCACUCCAGGCCGUGGGCGGCACGGGCAUCAGCGUGACCGUCGGCGCCCCCAACGACGUGCUCUCCAACAUCGCCGCCAGCCCCGCCGCCGCCGCGUCCUGGGUCCGCAACAACAUCCAGGCGUACCCGUCCGUGUCCUUCCGCUACAUCUGCGUCGGCAACGAGGUCGCCGGCGGCGCGGCUCAGAACCUGGCGCCGGCGAUGGAGAACGUCCACGCCGCGCUGGCCGCUGCCGGGCUCGGCCACAUCAAGGUGACGACGUCGGUGUCGCAGGCCAUCCUGGGCGUGUACAGCCCGCCCUCCGCCGCCGAGUUCACCGGCGAGGCCAAGGGGUACAUGGGCCCCGUGCUGUCGUUCCUGGCCCGGACCGGGUCGCCGCUGAUGGCCAACAUCUACCCGUACCUUGCGUGGGCCUACAACCCGAGCGCCAUGGACAUGAGCUACGCGCUCUUCACCUCCAAGGGCACGGUGGUGCAGGACGGCGCCUACGGGUACCAGAACCUGUUCGACACGACGGUGGACGCCUUCUACUUCGCCAUGGGCCGGCACGGCGGCUCCGGCGUGCCGCUGGUGGUGUCGGAGAGCGGGUGGCCGUCCGGCGGCGGUGAGCAGGCGAACGCGGCCAACGCCAGGAUCUACAACCAGUAUCUGAUCAACCACGUCGGGCGCGGCACGCCGAGGCACCCCGGCGGCAUCGAGACCUACCUCUUCUCCAUGUUCAACGAGAACCAGAAGGACAGCGGCGUGGAGCAGAACUGGGGACUCUUCUACCCCAACAUGCAGCACGUCUACCCCAUCAGCUUCUGAUCACCGGAGCUCUCGUCUAUGAUUAAGUACGUAUACGGGGUACGUAUAAGUGUACGUACAUGUAGAUUAUGUAUUGUACUGGGGGCUUGCUUUGCGACCGCUGGGAGUGCCAAAUGGUGCUCCCAGAUGCGUACGCCGUGAGUGAGUAUGUCGGUCUAUGUAUUCGUCGAAGGGAGAUGUACGUACCGUAGAUAAAUACGGUGCAUCGUCGAUUGAUCUCCCUUCCUAGCUAGUAC